AGACAACUUCCCCAGGCAACAAAUCUGUGCCCUGCAGUGUUCAAGGCUCUGGGUGUAGCAGUGAGUGAAGUAGCCCCUGCCCUGAAGGAGCAGGCAUCCAAGUGGUGAAGAGGAAGGCAGAUGAUGGUUCCAUAAACCAGGCAGGAGAGCCAUGGAGAGAAGAGAACAAAGAGGGCAGCGCUACAGACACGGACUUGGAAAGACUGACGUUGACAGAUCUGACAGAGGCCAUGGGCUCCACGGUUUGCCAGCGUGUGCCUGAAGGUAAUGGUUAGGGAAGAGCCCUAGACGUCUCUGGGGCGUGGGGAGCAAUCCGAGACGAAGCCCCACUAUGCGCAUGAGCUGUCCACUCCCUGCUUGGCUCCCAUCCUCCUACACCCUUUUUACAUCUCAUCAUCUUCAACAGAACCCAGCCCCUCCCCAUGCUCUGCCUGGAGCCAAGCUAACGACUGCUGCUCACGGGACAGUGUCUAGACCUAUUGUUUCAUCGCACUGACACGGAGAGUAUCUGUUGCUCAGGUUAUCAAAAUGACCUUCCCUCUUGGCCUCCUCUGUUUGCAGAGACUGUGGCGCUAGUGGGAACAAGGUGGCCAGGGCUGAGUGGAGGUUUGAGAGGCAAGCCAGGGUCGCCACCUGCUGGUUGGAUGUGGCAAUGGCUGCCAGCAACAAGAGCUGGCUGUACACUGAUUGUCUGGGUUUGUUAGGGGUCCUCCUGGUACCAGUGGAAGGGGGUAAAUGGUUUUUAUCUGUAUAUUUCCUCCACUUCUAGCAAGUAGCCUCCCAUUUCUCUACAGUCAUCCCUCUGACUCCCUAAGGGAGAGACUAUUUUUGCUGGUUCUGGAACUUCAAACAUGGAGAAUCUCGUGUUGUAUGUCUUUCAUAUCCAGUAUGGUGUUUCUGCUCACAGUUUCUGUCUCUACCUUUUAGUGGAGUUUAUCAACAAUUUUAUUUCUUGUGAUAUUAGGAAUACAACACAGAUGUGUACUUUGUUACCUGUUGGAAAACACUGGGGUGGACUGAGUGUGGGAAUAUAACAAGAUCGACACAUUGUGGCCAUUUCUGUAACAGUCAUUUUUUUUAAAUUAAAUUUACUCACUUUGCAUCCUAACACCAGCCCCCCCCCCUCACUAUCCCCUCAUGGAGAUCCUCUCCCAUUCCUCCCUUCCCUUUUCCUUUGAGAAGGGGAGCCCCCCUCAACAUAAAACCUCCUUAAUAACCUCCUGUAACUGUCAUUUUAUGGACAUACAUUUUCAUUCCUUUUCUGACCCCCAGGGUAAGCACACAACUGCUUUGAAAAGGUCCCUUUCCCAGUUGCAUUUUGGCUGUUACUUCCUCAUAUUAUCCAUCCUCUGACCUUGUGCAUUUCCAAGGGUUUUGGUAUAUUCAGUGUUCUCCAGCCAUCAGAACUAAGUCUACAACAUUCUCAGCACCUGGAGGAACUCUCUACCCUUUUGCUACCACUCCAGCCUGUCCCUAGCAAAAGUAUAACCUGCUUCGUCUCGAAAGAUCUAUUCUGGACAUGUCCUACAUGAAAGAAAAUGCAGUCCUACUGUGUGUGGCCUUUUGUGACAGGCUUCUUCUGCCCUUGGCAUCUUUUCUAAACCAUGCAUGAUCUGUGUGUUCUGUCGGCAUCUCAUUUCUUUCUAUGGCUGAAUGAUCACUGUAUAGAGAUGACACAUUUGUUGAUCCAUUCGACAGAUGGGCAUAUAGUGUUUCUGUGGACAUUCAAGUUCUCUGGAGUACUACUGAAGGGUAAGAUUGCUGGGUCAUGUGGUAUCUCUGCCCCAGCUAUUUCUGAACUCAGGGAGGCUGGUGUGUCCUACCCAAGUCUCCACCCACAGCCAGUGUGCAGCCCCUCCAUCUACCAGAGCACUGCAUCUGCAGGGAGGACUCCCAGAAGCUCAGGCAGCUCACCUGUUUCUCUCCCAGAGGCUGUAGUCCUGAGCUGUUGCCACACUGGAAAUAGUUUUUAACUUAUAUGAUCAUUUUCUGUUGUGUAUAGCAACAGAGUCUAGGAUGGUCACCCGUCGAAGCUAGGAGCCUAAGACGCUGGCACUUUCAAAACUGUGGCAUCUGAGAGCUGCAUCACCUGAAGUUCCUGGAGAUCCAAGUGCAGAUGGCCGCUUCCACUAGCGGUUACCCACAGGGGCCAGGUCUCUUGUGUUUAAUGCCCUCCCACGAGUCUUCUUAUGGUUUAAUGUGGAGAAUGAAUCUUAGGAAUGCUGUGGGUACGGAGUCGUGCCUGCUUUCUUCCAGGACCAACUUCUAUUCGUGUCUGAUUGGCACCAUCAGGCGCUUUUCCAGUCAGCCCCUUGCCCUCGCAAAACUAACUUGAGACUAUCACAUCAGGUUUUCUGCUGAGGACUUCUCUCACUUCUAUGAAUAAAUCUACGGUGUUCUGGGACCGCAGAGGAGUGUGCUUGUGGGUGUGUAGCCUCAAGGGCCACUCCAAGGCAGCCCAGAGAGACAUGGGAUACUACAGGGAUGUUGAGACGGGAACAGCGCCCCUCAUUCAGCAUCUCGUUGGUGUUUCCUGCUGAGUGUCAAAGAUUUUAAACAACCACUGAGAAUUCUGCAUUCAGAGGCAAUGUUCUUUUCUAAGAGAUGUCUUCAGCAGGAUGCAAAACACAGUAUAGUAGGCUUGGCUUGCUCAGAGCCCGAAUGUUUGAGAUCUCUGAGUUCGGUCCCCUCAAACCUCUCUCCUGCCUACACCCCAACAAUGUACCCUGCAAAGCCUCCUUACAAUUUUAUUUGCAUAAGGAACCUAAGGAAAAUAGGUAAAUGGGUCCAUAGGCUUUUCCACUUUGUAAAUUUUGCUUAAUCUUAUUACAUCCUUUCAACAAUGUUUAACUUUAAAAGCCACAAAAUCUCAUGUUUAUCCAAUUAAAAAAGGAAAAAAAAUCAAAAUCUCACAUGCAGCUAUUAUUUUCUCCCACCACAAUAUUUUUAUUAAUUAUUUGGAAACUUCAUACAAUGUACCCUGAUACACUCACCUCGCUUCCCAUUCCUCCAGAUCCACCCGCCCACCCUUGUGUCCCCCCCCUCAAAUAGACAAGAAAUAGAAAAAUAAGAAAAGAAAGAAAAAAGACAAUUACAAAUAAACAAGCUCUGCCUCCCUCC
rnacentral:lncRNA from 1 species